AUUGAACGCUGGCGGCAGGCUUAACACAUGCAAGUCGAGCGGGGUGAUGGUGCUUGCACUAUCACUUAGCGGCGGACGGGUGAGUAAUGCUUAGGAAUCUGCCUAUUAGUGGGGGACAACAUCUCGAAAGGGAUGCUAAUACCGCAUACGUCCUACGGGAGAAAGCAGGGGAUCACUUGUGACCUUGCGCUAAUAGAUGAGCCUAAGUCGGAUUAGCUAGUUGGUGGGGUAAAGGCCUACCAAGGGGACGAUCUGUAGCGGGUCUGAGAGGAUGAGCCGCCACACUGGGCCUGAGACACGGCCCAGACUACUACGGGAGGCAGCAGUGGGGAAUAUUGGACAAUGGGGGGAACCCUGAUCCAGCCAUGCCGCGUGUGUGAAGAAGGCCUUAUGGUUGUAAAGCACUUUAAGCGAGGAGGAGGCUCUUUUGGUUAAUACCCAAGAUGAGUGGACGUUACUCGCAGAAUAAGCACCGGCUAACUCUGUGCCAGCAGCCGCCGUAACAC
rnacentral:rRNA from 1 species